GUGCACGCUGGCGGCGUGCUUAACCCCUGCCAGUCGAACGGUGAACACGGAGCUUGCUCUGUGGGAUCAGUGGCGAACGGGUGAGUAACACGUGAGCAACCUGCCCCUGACUCUGGGAUAAGCGCUGGAAACGGCGUCUAAUACUGGAUAUGUGACGUGACCGCAUGGUCUGCGUUUGGAAAGAUUUUUCGGUUGGGGAUGGGCUCGCGGCCUAUCAGCUUGUUGGUGAGGUAAUGGCUCACCAAGGCGUCGACGGGUAGCCGGCCUGAGAGGGUGACCGGCCACACUGGGACUGAGACACGGCCCAGACUCCUACGGGAGGCAGCAGUGGGGAAUAUUGCACAAUGGGCGCAAGCCUGAUGCAGCAACGCCGCGUGAGGGAUGACGGCCUUCGGGUUGUAAACCUCUUUUAGCAGGGAAGAAGCGAAAGUGACGGUACCUGCAGAAAAAGCGCCGGCUAACUACGUG
rnacentral:rRNA from 1 species